UACGUAGGUGGCAAGCGUUGUCCGGAGUUACUGGGCGUAAAGCGCACGCAGGCGGUCUGCUAAGUUUGGAGUGACAGUUGGUGGCUCAACCACCAAAGUGCUUCGAAAACUGACAGACUUGAGGGCUUCAGAGGGACACGGAAUUCCGGGUGGAGUGGUGAAAUGCGUAGAGAUCCGGAGGAACACCGAAGGCGAAGGCGGCCCGCUGGGCAGUGGCUGACGCUGAGGCGCGACAGCGUGGGGAGCAAACAGG
rnacentral:rRNA from 1 species